GAUGCCCCGGUAGCUCAGUGGUAGAGUUCCUGUAUGUGUUGAGCGAAAGCGCCUAAAGCCUCCCUUCUGUCAGGAGGUCGCAGGUUCGAAUCCUGCCCGGUGGCUAAACG